GAGUUUGAUCCUGGCUCAGAUUGAACGCUGGCGGCAUGCCUUACACAUGCAAGUCGAACGGUAACAGGCCGCAAGGUGCUGACGAGUGGCGAACGGGUGAGUAAUGCAUCGGAACGUGCCCAGUCGUGGGGGAUAACUGCUCGAAAGAGCAGCUAAUACCGCAUACGACCUGAGGGUGAAAGCGGGGGACCGAAAGGCCUCGCGCGAUUGGAGCGGCCGAUGUCAGAUUAGGUAGUUGGUGGGGUAAAGGCCUACCAAGCCGACGAUCUGUAGUUGGUCUGAGAGGACGACCAGCCACACUGGGACUGAGACACGGCCCAGACUCCUACGGGAGGCAGCAGUGGGGAAUUUUGGACAAUGGGGGCAACCCUGAUCCAGCAAUGCCGCGUGCAGGAAGAAGGCCUUCGGGUUGUAAACUGCUUUUGUCAGGGAAGAAAUCCUGUGGGUUAAUACCUCGUGGGGAUGACGGUACCUGAAGAAUAAGCACCGGCUAACUACGUGCCAGCAGCCGCGGUA
rnacentral:rRNA from 2 species